AUCGUUGCUCGGGUCGUU
rnacentral:miRNA from 1 species